UACCAGCACCCCGAGUGGUCAGGACGUUUAUUGGGCCUAAAGCAUCCGUAGCCGGCUCUACAAGUCUUCCGUUAAAUCCACCUGCUUAACAGAUGGGCUGCGGAAGAUACUAUAGAGCUAGGAGGCGGGAGAGGCAAGCGGUACUCGAUGGGUAGGGGUAAAAUCCGUUGAUCCAUUGAAGACCACCAGUGGCGAAGGCGGCUUGCCAGAACGCGCUCGACGGUGAGGGAUGAAAGCUGGGGGAGCAAACCGG
rnacentral:rRNA from 1 species